UGAUUUUGAGUAAAGAAAUGGCCAUAACAAAGAUCGUAUUCUAAGGUUUCACAAAAAUGGAAUCAAAAUUUGAAAAAGUCCAUCGAUUUUAUAGACUUUCAGGAAUGUUAAAGUGUUUAUUCAAUUAUAAUUUUCUUCUCACGUCGCAACAAAUUCGUGGCAGCGCGAUAAAGAAGAAGAUAAUGUCCAAGCAAUCAUAUACACAUACAGACAUACCAUACAUACAUAUGUAUGCAUGUACAUAUUUGGCGAAACUCUCUGCAUGCAUAUUUGUAUGUAUGCAUGUUUGGGUGUGUGUUUCGCAAUUCUGUUCUGCUCUAAAAUCAGAAUUUGAAGACUUUGACGAACUCCAAAGCAAAUCUGGCAUGGAUAAGAAAACAUUCAAUAACGUUGGUAGCUGAAUGACCUUGGCUUAAACAAAAUCGUAUUUCAAUUUUGACCAAAUUGUCAAUGUUUAUAGAAUGUUGUUGCCAAAACUGCGUCGAUUUUUAAAUCAACAUUUUGUUGAAUUCUGUCGAUUUUAAGGACUCGCGUAUCUAUAAAGCCUUAUGGACAACAUAAAAUCAACAGCAAAUGAUCGCUAUGCAUGGGGUACCUAAUUGACCUAUAUAUCCUUGGUUAUUCCAUAUCAUAGAUAGAGUCCUAGCGAACCUAAAGGACAAUGUUCUUGCAAAUUGCGUAGGAACAGGUUCCAAAAUGUUUAUGCUUUUCUUUUACAGCCGCCCCUAUCAACAGUUCCGCCCCCUGGAUGGUUUCUAGUUGACUAGCAUAUCCUUGGUUGUGCCAUACCAUCGAUAUAGUCCUUGGGAACCUAAAGGAUCAGAUCCCUGCAAAAUGUGCAUUGAAAUGGUCCAAAAAUAUGUAUGCUUUUUCUUUCAGGAGCCCUUUUACAUUAGCUGUUGCUUAACAGCCGGCUUACAGCACUCAUUUUACAGAAACUGCUAAUUAAAAUAACUCAUUUUAAUUGAGUUACAUUUUUGCCCCUUGAUGCUCUGCUAUGAAAAUUUUAUUAAAAGCACUCAUCGACUUUCUGGGCAUUUCUGUUCGCCUGGUAUUUGAGCGAAAUUUUAGGGCAAAUUUGGGGCGCAGCCUCCGACCAGGGCGCCCCUUUUGGGUAUGCAAUGAAAUGUUUCGGCAACUAAAAAUAUUUCUUGUCGACCUUCUGGGCAUUUCUGUUCGCCUGGUAUUUUGGCAGAUUUUAAGAAAAAUCUCGACAGUCAGCGGCUGCCAACAGACGCCCCUUUUGGGUAUGCAAUGCAAAUGUUUUGAAACGACAUAUCUCGCCGCAUUAAAAAC